AAACAAACAAACAAACAAACAAACAAACAAACAAAACGGACUAACGGGCUCGUUUCUCCUCCAUGUUCUUCUCCUUCCUUCCUCCUCCUCCUCCUCCUCCUGCUGACCGUCCGCCGCUCCUGGCCUCACCCAUGCAGCAGAGGAGACCCUGGAUGGGGACCCACUACAUGUGACGUCUCUUCUCGUGCACCGAUUGGUUUGAGCCGAACAGCCAAUCAGAGGGAUUCCUCUCACCGUUGCCCUCCGCGCAGUCGGCCGCAGACACGCUUGACGUCACGCUCGUGGCGGGCGGCGGCGGCGGAGGAGGUUGAACCACCAUCAGCCGUGAGUUCGAUGGUUCGGGGUCAGUGGAGGAUUCGGGCCCCGCCCGCCUGCAGAAACCAGGAUGAGAGCUUUUGUAAUCUGGUUCUGAUCUUUUGACAUGUUGAAACACGGCUGUGACGCCGGAGUGAGUCCCACCGCUGUGCAGCUGUACGGCAGCGGGACGCAGCUCCUGGUAAAAGCUGCACUGCAGGAGGCAUGCUGGGAAAAAAAACAGAAAGAAAGAUGGCGGCCGGCCGGCGUGCUGCUGGCUGUCGUCAGGAUGACUAAACACUGAAUCCUGCUGAGCAAGAACAUUCCUGUGAAGGAGGCAGCAGCUGCUCCACACUGAUAGUAACACACAGACACUGUCAGUGAAAAGCCACAGGUUCGAUCCCCAAGAGGACUUUUUAAAGCUUUUAAAACUCAAAUCUGUCAUUCGAUAACACAAAUAAACAGCAGACCUUAAACGCACUCCAACGUUCAUACAGAGUGAGUGUUUUAUAGAAGAAGGAGAUCCAGGUAGCUGAGCUCACCUGGUCAUUUGUUUGCGAGGUCAUGUGAUGAUCACAGGGGGUUUGUGUAGCUGUGAGAGCAGAGCUGUAACUCUACACCGGCUCUCACUGUUACUCAGUGGAAAGAUAUGUGGCUGCACACACCUGACCACUCGCUCCAUGACAAAGACUGUGUGUGUGUGUGUGUGUGUUUCCCCACAACUGCAGCGUUUCUCAAACUAUUUUUGGACUUUGACUUCAUCAGACAGACAGCUGG
rnacentral:lncRNA from 15 species